CUAGUAUAAGCAAUUAUACCGCGAAACUGCGAAUGGCUCAUUAUAUAAGUUAUCGUUUAUUUGAUAGUACCUUACUACUUGGAUAACCGUGGUAAUUCUAGAGCUAAUACAUGCUAAAAAUCCCGACUUCGGAAGGGAUGUAUUUAUUAGAUUAAAAACCAAUGCCCUUCGGGGCUCACUGGUGAUUCAUGAUAACUCCUCGAAUCGCAUGGCCUUGUGCCGGCGAUGGUUCAUUCAAAUUUCUUCCCUAUCAACUUUCGAUGUUUGGGUAUUGGCCAAACAUGGUUGCAACGGGUAACGGAGGGUUAGGGCUCGACCCCGGAGAAGGAGCCUGAGAAACGGCUACUACAUCCAAGGAAGGCAGCAGGCGCGCAAAUUACCCAAUCCCGACACGGGGAGGUAGUGACAAUAAAUACUGAUACAGGGCUCUUUUGGGUCUUGUAAUUGGAAUGAGUACAAUUUAAAUCCCUUAACGAGGAACAAUUGGAGGGCAAGUCUGGUGCCAGCAGCCGCGGUAAUUCCAGCUCCAAUAGCGUAUAUUAAAGUUGUUGUGGUUAAAAAGCUCGUAGUUGAACCUUGGGCCUGGCUGGCCGGUCCGCCUCACCGCGUGUACUGGUCCGGCCGGGCCUUUCCCUCUGUGGAACCCCAUGCCCUUCACUGGGUGUGGCGGGGAAACAGGACUUUUACUGUGAAAAAAUUAGAGUGCUCCAGGCAGGCCUAUGCUCGAAUACAUUAGCAUGGAAUAAUAGAAUAGGACGUGUGGUUCUAUUUUGUUGGUUUCUAGGACCGCCGUAAUGAUUAAUAGGGACAGUCGGGGGCAUCAGUAUUCAAUUGUCAGAGGUGAAAUUCUUGGAUUUAUUGAAGACUAACUACUGCGAAAGCAUUUGCCAAGGAUGUUUUCAUUAAUCAGGAACGAAAGUUA
rnacentral:rRNA from 1 species